rnacentral:rRNA from 1 species
CAGCGGCCCUAGUGGUGAUCGUUAUUAUUGGGCCUAAAACGUCCGUAGCCUGUUUAGUAAAUGCCUGGGUAAAUCGUGUAGCUUAACUAUACGAAUUCCGGGUAGACUGCUAAACUUGAGACCGGGAGAGGCUAGAGGUACUCCUGGGGUAGAGGUGAAAUUCUGUAAUCCUAGGGGGACCACCAGUGGCGAAGGCGUCUAGCUAGAACGGGUCUGACGGUGAGGGACGAAGCCCUGGGGCACAAACCGGAUUAGAUACCCGAGUAGUCC